GCAGGCAGGGAACACCCACAGUGCGUGGGCUCCGCCGCGCUGUGAGUGGAGGGCGCAGCAGCCCGAGCUCCCCUUCCUCCCACCCCUGUCGGUGCGGGACACCCACCGGCCCCGCUGAGCGCUGGUGCCCCUGGCGAGCAGAGGGGCAGGUGCACAGGCCUGAGGGCAGUGGCCACCCCCUGCAGAGGGCAGGCUGGCUCCUGUCUCACGGUGAGACAGGUCGUGGGGGUGGAGCUGGCAGCAAGGCACUAUGGGUACAUCUCAGGGGAUUCCCACUCCGGGAGGGGGUAGGGCAGGCUGCUUGGCCCAAAGGCAAAAAGGGGAAUGCAGCAACAGGGGCCAAGAGAGAAUUCCUUCCACAGAUCUGCCCCAAAUGCUGAGCACGGACCACCCCGAGCCUGUGAGCCAGCCUGCAGGUGCGGGGCGUCCAUGCUCACCAGGGUGACGGCAGUGAGCCCAGGGACGCGACGCGGACACCGGCCGCCAGCCGCACCGAGGUCAGAGCGAGGGACGCCUCUGGUCUUUCCUGCACAAUUCCCAGAGCACCUGAUGGAAACGCUAAGAAUUGGAAUUUGCUGGCUGGUGCUGCCGUAGACGCAGAAUGAGAAGACAGACGGUGUCUGCUCACGGGCACAGGCGCCACCCACGCUCCAGGGACCCGGUGGGAACCAGGGCGUCCUCCUGGAGACACACAAGGGCCCACAGAACACACGCAGGCGCGAGGCAGGCGCCUGACCAGGGCUAAGAGUCCCGCAUGCCGCAUCGGAAGGCCUGCUUUUCCUCCUGGCUCCGGCCAGGGGGCAUCCUGGGAGGUAGGAGGUGACGGCUCGGGGCGCUGGGCUCCUGUCGCCCACGAGGCAGGCAGAGUAAGUCCAGGGCCCUGGCUUCAGCCACUGUGGGUGCAGGGAGAGUGACCCGGCAGAUGGGAGCUGCCUCUGACUCGCUCUGCUUCUUACAUGAGUAAAACCUAUUUUUUGGCUAUUUUGUGAAAGUGCUCGCGAGCACAUUCAGGAGUCUGUAGUAAAGGGAACUCGCAGAGCGGUCAGGAAGGGCUCCCGCGGAAGCCAGGGUGAGAGCAGCUGCGGGAGAGACAGGGAAGGAACGUUCCAGAAGCGGAGGCGGCCCAGCCUGGGGGAGGCGUGAGUGCUGAGCG
rnacentral:lncRNA from 1 species